CGCUCGUGAACGACACAUCAGUAGAGCUCAGGAGGCGACCCUGUGAACAUUGAGCGCAGUGCUGCGAUUUAAAUUAUUCGUGUGAAUCUCUGGAUUUGGUCUACUCAAGGCUCCACAGUGGUGUGACAUGGUCUGCUCCAAAGCCACUUUCUCUUAUUGCCGUGUGGACACCGAUGCAGAGGGAAACUGGGAAAAAUCACUUGAAUCACAUGGUGACCCCUGGUUCCUAUCACUACCACUGUAAAGAAACAGAAACAGCUACGAUGGUGACCACCAUGAGCAGCAGCCCACAGCUCAGCGCGCCGGCUAUGAUGAUGUGAGUGUUAAACGGUCCUUUUGAGCUGCUGGAUGUUUCUGAGUCUGAGGAAGAGAAAAAGGAAGAAAUGUAAGGUCACAAAGGAUGUGUGGGGGACGAUCAAAGAAAGCACUUCCAGCUGUGUGUCAUCAAACUGAAUAGACUCCACACCAUUUUCUAAAAUGUUCAUGUUUCAAUUACACUGUAAAAAAUAAAAGGCUUUGUGUUAUAAAAGAAGCACAUUUAAAUGGAGAAGGAACCUUAGAAUAUAUGGUUCUUUAACUGAUAUAUGUGAGUGUGAAGAACCUUUUAAAGCUGUAAUAAUAAUGUAAAAGUUCUUUUGUCCUAGAACAGUAUGUGCAAGCAAAGAACUGUUUAGGAACUUUUAUGUUUUAGCAAAAACAGUCUAAAAAGAAUAAAUUCAUAAGCUGGACUCUUAAGUAAUA